rnacentral:lncRNA from 12 species
AGGGGGGUGGGGAGGGGUGGGAACAGGCUUAAAAUAUCAGUAAGAAAAUAGGAAGAGGACUGAGCUAUCAUUGUCUGCAGGUUGUAACCUGUGUUUAUUGUUUUUUUAAGGGGUUAAGGUACAACUGCUGUGGCAUCCAGAAAAAGGAAAGCAUACUGACUGAUUCUUGUGUGUAAGAAGCAUUUCAGCCUAAGCUUAGUGAACUUCCCGGAAUGCUACCCUCGGCUGAUGGAAGCUGAGCUUGUGUUAAUUCUGUCAUCGAUAAUCAUACCCAGCAGAUUCUACAAAGGGAGAGACUUUUUCUGAAGGCCAUUGGCUGGAUAAUACUUGUGGUUCAGGCAGCUUUCGAAAGCAAUGUUUUGCUUCAGGGUUGAGAAUCUAUGGAAUCUCAACUUAAAGA